AUGGUGCACUCAAGACAGUUAUUUCAUAGAAGGUUAUUCAAGUCUGAUGAAAAUUGCCCUUCAUACCUUCAAGAAAUUUCUGAGCAGAUAUUGGAAAAAUGUCAUGGGUUACCUUUGGCGAUCAUUGCUAUAUCUGGUUUUUUGGCUAACACAGAAAAAACAGAAGUUCUAUGGAAUCAAGUGAAAGAUUCAAUUGGUCGUGCACUUGAAAGAAACCCUAACAUCGAAGGAAUGAUGAAGAUAUUGUCACUUAGUUACUUUGAUCUGCCUCUUUAUCUGAAAACAUGUCUCUUGUAUCUGAGUGUAUAUCUAGAAGAUUCUACUAUUAAGAAGAAGGGCCUGAUAAGAAGAUGGAUUGCUGAAGGAUUCAUUCACAGAGAGGGUAGAUACACGGCAUAUGAGUUAGGAGAAAGGUAUUUUAACGAACUACUCAAUAGGGGUUUGAUCCAACCUGGGGAGACAAAUGAAUAUGGCAUAGUGAAGAGUUGUCAAGUUCAUGAUACAAUCCUUGAUUUCAUCAUAUCCAAGUCCAUAGAAGAGAACUUUGUUACUUUACUUGGUGUUCCCAUUCUGACAAUUGGAAACCAAAGCAAAGUUGUUCGUCGACUCUGUCUACAAGGUGUCAAGAAAAGAAAUUCAACAGUACUGACAGCAGAUCUCGUGUUUUCCCAUGUUCGAUCACUUACUAUGGUUAGAGAUCCGUUGGAAAUCCCUUCUUUGGAAGAGUUCAGACAUCUGUGUGUUCUCAACUUGAAGGAUUGCUCCGAAUUGAAAGAUCAUCAUCUUGAAAAUAUAGUGAGGUUGUUCCAGAUGAGGCACCUGAAUCUCAAACGUACAUGA
rnacentral:rRNA from 1 species